GAAAAAGUAUUAACAUGCUUUCUUAAGAUAUUAAUGACUGCCUCCUUAAGAGCGGUACCGAGAUUGAUGCACUUUCUUGUGAACAAUUAUACUUCCUUCGCCUCAUCAAUCGGUGUUGGUAAGACAUGGGACUUUGGCUUCUCUAGGAGGUCCAUAGGGAAAGUGGUCGUAGUAGCCACUUUGGCGGACUACUCGUAACGC
rnacentral:misc_RNA from 1 species